UACGGAGGGUGCAAGCGUUGUUCGGAAUUAUUGGGCGUAAAGCGCGCGCAGGCGGUCCCUUAAGUCUGAUGUGAAAGCCCACGGCUCAACCGUGGAGGGUCAUUGGAAACUGGGGGACUUGAGUACAGAAGAGGAAAGCGGAAUUCCACGUGUAGCGGUGAAAUGCGUAGAGAUGUGGAGAACACCAGUGGCGAAGGCGGCUUCC
rnacentral:rRNA from 1 species